rnacentral:rRNA from 1 species
UAGAGUUUGAUCCUGGCUCAGGAUGAACGCUAGCGGCAGGCUUAACACAUGCAAGUCGAGGGGCAUCGGGAGGGAAGCUUGCUUUCCUUGCCGGCGACCGGCGCACGGGUGAGUAACACGUAUGCAACCUGCCCUCUUCAGGGGGACAACCUUCCGAAAGGGAGGCUAAUCCCGCGUAUAUCGGUUUCGGGCAUCCGAGAUCGAGGAAAGAUUCAUCGGAAGAGGAUGGGCAUGCGGCGCAUUAGCUUGACGGCGGGGUAACGGCCCACCGUGGCGACGAUGCGUAGGGGUUCUGAGAGGAAGGUCCCCCACACUGGUACUGAGACACGGACCAGACUCCUACGGGAGGCAGCAGUGAGGAAUAUUGGUCAAUGGGAGAGAUCCUGAACCAGCCAAGCCGCGUGAGGGAAGACGGCCCUAUGGGUUGUAAACCUCUUUUGUCGGAGAACAAAACCCGGGACGUGUCCCGGACUGCGUGUAUCCGAAGAAAAAGCAUCGGCUAACUCCGUGCCAGCAGCCGCGGUAAUACGGAGGAUGCGAGCGUUAUCCGGAUUUAUUGGGUUUAAAGGGUGCGUAGGCGGUCCGUUAAGUCAGCGGUAAAAUUGCGGGGCUCAACCCCGUCGAGCCGUUGAAACUGGCAGACUUGAGUUGGCGAGAAGUACGCGGAAUGCGCGGUGUAGCGGUGAAAUGCAUAGAUAUCGCGCAGAACUCCGAUUGCGAAGGCAGCGUACCGGCGCCAGACUGACGCUGAGGCACGAAAGCGUGGGGAUCGAACAGGAUUAGAUACCCUGGUAGUCCACGCAGUAAACGAUGAAUGCUGGUUGUCCGGGUCGAAUGAGAUCUGGGCGGCGAAGCGAAAGCGAUAAGCAUUCCACCUGGGGAGUACGCCGGCAACGGUGAAACUCAAAGGAAUUGACGGGGGCCCGCACAAGCGGAGGAACAUGUGGUUUAAUUCGAUGAUACGCGAGGAACCUUACCCGGGCUCAAACGACACAGGAAUACUUUUGAAAGGAGGUAGCUCUACGGAGUCUGUGUCGAGGUGCUGCAUGGUUGUCGUCAGCUCGUGCCGUGAGGUGUCGGCUUAAGUGCCAUAACGAGCGCAACCCCCAUCGCCAGUUACCAGCAAGUCAAGUUGGGGACUCUGGCGAGACUGCCGGCGCAAGCUGUGAGGAAGGCGGGGAUGACGUCAAAUCAGCACGGCCCUUACGUCCGGGGCGACACACGUGUUACAAUGGCAGGUACAGAGAGAAGCAAUGCGGCGACGCAAAGCGGAACUUGAAAGCCUGUCUCAGUUCGGAUUGGAGUCUGCAACUCGACUCCAUGAAGCUGGAUUCGCUAGUAAUCGCGCAUCAGCCAUGGCGCGGUGAAUACGUUCCCGGGCCUUGUACACACCGCCCGUCAAGCCAUGGAAGCCGGGAGUGCCUGAAGUGUGCAACCGCAAGGAGCGCCCUAAGGUAAAACUGGUGACUGGGGCUAAGUCGUAACAAGGUAGCCGUA